CUCGGAGGCUCGAGACAAAGAGGCGCGCCGUUACAGAUGGUGCAAGACACGCUUACAUUGUUUUUCAGCCACCAGGUAUAUAGCGGCACUAAUUCGAUUUUAUUGACGUGCAUGCUCGCGAGCACUCACGCGACACGCCUCUCGCCUCGUGCACGUGACUACCACGUGGUGCGAGCAUGCACUACAUCCGCGAGUGAGUAAAAAUGUGUGGCGCGUUGCUCGCGAAACCGCGAGCUUUACACGCGAGUGUAAAGGUCGAUUCACACUAUACGGCACGGACCGUCGCGUACCGGCACCGACCGACUUCUUCUCGCAAACAAUAUUUUGACGGUGCGUGUCGGUGCUGGUACGUCGGUCUGACUCACAAGUAACACUAGAGAAGUGCCAUACGGCGAUUUUCCUGAAACUUGGCAUACAAGUAGUACACGGAGAACAUUGGAUUGGACAUGUAUAUUGUUAUAUCGGCCCGAAAGUCGUUUGAAGGGUAGAAAUCACCCUUAUCGAUUUUGGAGGGAUUUUCGAGGACCCUGAAUACGAAUACUGAAUACGAAGAAGACCGUUUUCAAAAAUUCCAAAUGGCGGAUCCAGUAUGGCAGAUGAAUUUCUAAACAAUUGUUGAAUUUUCAUGCAACUUGGUAUCUAGAGGUUUUUGGAAUGGAUUCCGAAGUCAGUUUUUGAUAAUUCUCCAUGGCGGAUACAAUAUGACCGACUUGAUUUUUAACAAACCAAGAAUGCAGGAUAAAAAUUUUCUCACUCUUUGCCGAGCCCAGGAAUAACCAACGUGGAGGUGGGUAGGAUUCGAGCCUGGGUCGCUUGUACGAUACGAGGCACGUACGCAGGCACCUUAUGAGGCGAG